ACAAUGGGGGGAACCCUGAUGCAGCGACGCCGCGUGGGUGAAGGAGCGUUUCGGCGCGUAAAGCCCUAUCGGCAGGGAAGAAGGAGGACGGUACCUGACUAAGAAGCCUCGGCUAACUACGUGCCAGCAGCCGCGGUAAUACGUAGGAGGCGAGCGUUAUCCGGAAUGACUGGGCGUAAAGGGUGCGUAGGUGGUUUGGCAAGUUAGUAGCGUAACUCCAAGGCUCAACCUUGGAACUACUACUAAAACUGUUGGACUUGAGUGCAGGAGGGGCAACCGGAAUUCCUAGUGUAGCGGUGGAAUGCGUAGAUAUUAGGAGGAACACCAGUGGCGAAGGCGGGUUGCUAGACUGUAACUGACACUGAGGCACGAAAGCGUGGGGAGCAAACAGG
rnacentral:rRNA from 1 species